rnacentral:misc_RNA from 1 species
GAUGAAGAACGUAUCGAAAUGCGAUAAGUAAUGUGAAUUGCAGAAUUCCGUGAAUCAUCGAAUCUUUGAACGCACAUUGCGCCCCCUGGCAUUCCGGGGGGCAUGCCUGUCCGAGCGUCAUUUCUGCCCUCCAGCCCGGCUGGGUGUUGGGCGCUGUCCCCCCGGGGACACGCCCCAAAGGCAGUGGCGGCGCCGCGUCGGGUCCUCGAGCGUAUGGGGCUUUGUCACCCGCUCGGGACGGACUCGUCGGCGCUGGUCUUCCUCCAGGCGACCCUUCGGGGCUCGUCUUCCUUCGGUUGACCUCGGAUCAGGUAGGGUUACCCGCUGAACUUAAGCAUAUCAAUAAGCGGAGGA